rnacentral:tRNA from 1 species
GCGGGCGUAGCCAAGUGGUAAGGCAAUGGGUUGUGAUCCCAUCAUUCGCGGGUUCGAUUCCCGUCGUUCGCC